AACGAACGCUGGCGGCGCGUCUUAAACAUGCAAGUCGAACGGCAGGAAGGGGCUUGCCCCUUCUGAGAGUGGCGGACUGGUGAGUAACACGUGGGUGACAUGCCUUUUAGUUGGGGAUAGCUAUUAGAAAUAGUAGGUAAUACCGAAUGUGACCGUACCUGUUAGAGGGGUACGAGGAAAGGAGCUAAGGCUUCGCUAAAAGAAUGGCUCGCGGCCCAUUAUGCUCGUUGGUGAGGUAACGGCCCACCAAGGCGAUGAUGGGUAUCCGGCCUGAGAGGGUGAACGGACACAUUGGGACUGAGAUACGGCCCAGACUUCUACGGGAGACAGCAGUUAAGAAUAUUCCGCAAUGGACGAAAGUCUGACGGAGCGACGCCGCGUGGAUGAAGAAUGCCGAAAGGUUGUAAAAUCCUUUUAAGCCUGAUGAAUAAGCACAGUAGGGAAUGAUUGUGCGGUGACCGUAGGGCUUGAAUAAGCACCGGCUAAUUACGUG
rnacentral:rRNA from 1 species